UACGUAGGGAGCAAGCGUUGUCCGGAAUCACUGGGCGUAAAGGGUGCGUAGGCGGGUCUUUAAGUCAGGGGGGAAAACCUGGAGCUCAACUCCAGAACUGCCUUUGAUACUGAAGAUCUUGAGUUCGGGAGAGGUGAGUGGAACUGCGAGUGUAGAGGUGAAAUUCGUAGAUAUUCGCAAGAACACCAGUGGCGAAGGCGGCUCACUGGCCCGAUACUGACGCUGAGGCACGAAAGCGUGGGGAGCAAACAGG
rnacentral:rRNA from 1 species